rnacentral:rRNA from 1 species
GCAGUGUACCCGCGGCAAGACGGAAAGACCCCGUGAACCUUUACUAUAGCUUGACACUGAACAUUGAGCCUUGAUGUGUAGGAUAGGUGGGAGGCUUUGAAGCGUGGACGCCAGUCUGCGUGGAGCCGACCUUGAAAUACCACCCUUUAAUGUUUGAUGUUCUAACGUGGACCCGUUACCCGGGUUGCGGACAGUGUCUGGUGGGUAGUUUGACUGGGGCGGUCUCCUCCUAAAGAGUAACGGAGGAGCACGAAGGUUGGCUAAUCCUGGUCGGACAUCAGGAGGUUAGUGCAAUGGCAUAAGCCAGCUUGACUGCGAGCGUGACGGCGCGAGCAGGUGCGAAAGCAGGUCAUAGUGAUCCGGUGGUUCUGAAUGGAAGGGCCAUCGCUCAACGGAUAAAAGGUACUCCGGGGAUAACAGGCUGAUACCGCCCAAGAGUUCAUAUCGACGGCGGUGUUUGGCACCUCGAUGUCGGCUCAUCACAUCCUGGGGCUGAAGUAGGUCCCAAGGGUAUGGCUGUUCGCCAUUUAAAGUGGUACGCGAGCUGGGUUUAGAACGUCGUGAGACAGUUCGGUCCCUAUCUGCCGUGGGCGCUGGAGAACUGAGGGGGGCUGCUCCUAGUACGAGAGGACCGGAGUGGACGCAUCACUGGUGUUCGGGUUGUCAUGCCAAUGGCACUGCCCGGUAGCUAAAUGCGGAAGAGAUAAGUGCUGAAAGCAUCUAAGCACGAAACUUGCCCCGA